GAAACAAUUUGUAUCGGAUUAGACCACCUGUUCUACAUACACUUUGGUUUUCUAUCUAGCAUUUUUGAUAAUACCCGGUUUUUUUUUUAAUUUAACGUACAAGAAACAUAUAAAAUCGGCUUGGGCGGGAAAGAUACAAAUAGCGAAUAGAAUUGGUUUCUGAACAACUCAUUUCGAUCAUUGGUUUUGUCUUAUGGAUGCGAAUAUAGAAGACAUGGAUAUCGCUUUCGGUGAUGUUAACCUACAUGGUGGAUCUGAUAUGAUAUUUGAUGAAGAAUUACUAGAUAGCCCCGAUCCUAAGGCCAUCUAUGAUCAAGAGCCGGAUUUGUCGGAUUCUAGAAAUAGUGCAACAAAAGUGAAUCGUAAUGCAUCCAAUACAACAAUCGUAACGCGGCUUAACAGAAGCUUCCCAGCAGAUAACGCCGAUACCGCAGCGGAAUCGAUUCGAUUUCCGCUACAAGAUGCUAAAGAUACCAACG